rnacentral:lncRNA from 1 species
GCUUAAAAGAGGCACCACCUGCCCUCCCUGGCCCUCAGAAAUAGGCCUCAGACCAAGUAGGGAAGACAGACAGAGAAUGCCUGUGCACAUAUGCUGUCAAGAAGGGCUCGCGGAUGCCGAGGAAAGCCCAGAGGAGACAGCAGCUGCUUUUGUUUCCUUGGAGGCAGCGCCCAGUAGGGAGUGGGUCAGACAGGAGCCAGGAAGACAAUUACUAGAAAGGCAUUCCCUGGUGUUCUAAUGAGGCAAUUAGAGCCACUGAGUUUGAGACUGUAAGAGCAGGACGGGGCUCUGAAGACCCCCCUCGCCCAACCCCCUCAUUUUACAGAAGAGGCAACUGAGGCCCAGAGAGGGAGAUCCCAGAGUGACAAUGCCAAUUAGGGCUGGGACUGGGACCCAGGUCUCCAGCCACCACAGUGCCCUGCCUCUGCCAGAAUCAAAACCCACCCGCCAGAGGACAUGCACUUGAGAACACACCCUUUAGCACUUUCUGCUGUCAGUUACAUGGCUCAUUCUCCAUUGACAGACAGAAUAGAGGAAUUCACUGGAAAGGAGAACCACUUCACAGCAACGUUUUACAAGAAGCCUGAUGGUGGGAUGGAGCCCGUCAUUCAUAUUAAUGAGACAUGCAUGGAAGUGGCAAUGAGCAUGUGGAGUGUGGCUAAAAGAAAUGUGGUUCUUCACUUGGAGCUGAUGUGAAACACAGGCAAUCUGUUGGCCUACUGAGAGGAACUUCUUUUAAAAGCCAAGAACAAGAAUACCACCCAAAGACAUCUGUUCCUCUCAUCCUUUAGUGAAGUGCAGAUGGAGAUUCCUACAUGGUUUUGUUGUCAUCAAUACCUUCAAGUGUUUCCUUCAGAAAAUCCUUUGGUGGAGAGUUUAAUACAGUAGGGAGGAAGCUUUUAGGCUUUGAGAAAGCGAGUGGCCAUUUUGAAGAGGCCCACAUGGCAAAAUACUGGUGUGGCCUUCAGCCAACAGUAAGCUAGGAGCUGAGGCCCUCAGUCCCAUAGCCCUGAAGACAUGGAGUUCUGUCAAUAAACAAAUGAACUUGGAAGCAGAUCCUUCUCCUGUUGAGUCUUCAGAUGAGACCCAGCCCUUACUGACAGCCUGGAUGGCAGCUCUGUGAGAGAUCCUGAAGCAGAGGACCUAGCAAAGCCAGCAAAGUUUCUGACCCAAAGAAACUGUGAGAUGAUUUGUAUUGUCUCCAGCCACUACGUUGUAGUUAUUUGUUACACAGCAAUGGAUAACAAACACAGGAUGUUAAAGAAGUAUUUUUAUGAGACUUUCAAUAGCUAACAUUAGGAUGUAACUGUCAAAAGAAUUAACCUUGUAAUUCAAAUGUUCAUUGUGGGCUCUCACUCACCAUGGAAGCUCAUGCAAAAAUGCUGGAGAAAUUUAAAAUGUCUUAUGUGACAUCUGGUAGAAGUUUAAAAGUAUAGACAACCAUCAUUAAAAAAAAAACUCAUUGUAACUUUGUUUAAAACCUUGGCCCUAGCAUUCAAAGAUUAAAAUCUAAAAUAGGCUUGGAAUUUGGUCACUUCUUAAGGUCUAUGUCAGAUAUCUCUGUCAAAGCCCACAUAUUGUAAGAGUUGCUAAAGCUACAUACAACACUAUGGUGAGCAUUUCAUGCCUAAGUAUGAGAAUUGUAUUUGAUGCAUAUUAAUUGGUAAAAUCUAUUAGCUAGAUACUUAAUAAGAGAGAAGACUGAAGGAAUUGAGAAACCAGUGAACAGAGAUUGCUAAUUAAGAAAAAAAAAUCUGACUCUUUUAUAGGUUUACAUCUUGUAUUACUACCUAAUUGGCUCACUGUUUUGUUUUGUUUUUAUUUGGCAGUUGAAAGAGCCUGUAGACAUUUUAAAUCUCUUCAGAAUUUAUGAUUCAUUUGGUGAAACAGUAGCUGCUAGACUUGUGGAUGUUAAGAACCAGGAAAAAUGAAAAUUCAAAAACAAAAAUAGGUAGGUGAAUGAAUAGGUGAUUGAAUAUACUGCCACAGACAGUAAAGUUUAUUUUGUCAAGCUAGGACAUUAAACUAAAAAAAAAAAAUCACUGUAUGCUAUCAUCAUUAUUUUAUAGAGAAAGAACAAUUCAACCUCAACAGAAAAAUAAUAAUUUCAAAAUUAAAAAACAUAACUUUAAUUUCAAAAAAGCUUUUUUUUUUUUUUGAGAUGGAGUCUCGCUCUUUCACUCAGGCUGGACUGCAGUGGCGCUAUCUCGGCUCACUGCAAGCUCUGCCUCCCGGGUUCGCGCCAUUCUCCUGCCUCAGCCUCGUGAGUAGCUGGGACUACAGGCACCCACCACCAGGCCUGGCUAAUUUUUUGUAUUUUUAGUAGAGACGGGGUUUCACUGUGUUAGCCAGGAUGGUUU